UCCCUAGAGAUUCAGUGGUUAGGACUCUGUACUUCCACUGUGGAGGGCCCAGGUUCAAAUCCUGUUUGGGGAA
rnacentral:tRNA from 1 species